AUGUUGCAAGCACCACAGACCCCGUUAUAUACAAGCAGAGUUAUGAGACAGGUUCUGAAGUCUGGAGUGGUUCCUGCUGCUUUGCACUCUGAUGCCCCCUCCGACGGUCAGCAGCACAGACAGAAGAUACAUGCAGGUACCUGGAGAGGCUGGGGGCCUCUCCUGACUGCCAGCAGAGGGGUCAAUGGACACAUCGGAGGCCCAGCAAUGGUGCUGUUGUACGUUUGGGGUUUCACAUCAUUCAUUCAGAAAAGGAAGGGUUUUGUGGUCUGAACCAAAGACCUUUUCACCUUCACGCCGACCCGGGCAGAGCAAACUCUGGAACGUGUCGUCCACCCAACCUGAGUCUGGCUGGUGCCUAAGUCCUAGUGCAGGGGUCCUGGGAUGGGAGCCACUUUAAAAGGGGGUCGUGGGCUUGUGCCCUGGGAUGUGGUUCACUGGCUUUUUCCCCAACGAGAUGAAGGGGCUGCCAGGUCCUUUCCCCGAGUGAACCAGUUUCACUUUGGCCAUAAAGUCACCGUGGGAUUUUUAUUUUCUGCUUUACAGACGACGCCUCCAGAGUCCUGGACUUGGAGUGUAAUGUUCAUGUGACCUUGGCGUCCACAGGUGAGAAUUUUUUUCUAGCUCUGAGUCCCUCUGGCCCUGGUUUCUACAGAUGUCUGGGGAGGGCAGAUGUGACAGGACAGAGAACGGCUCACAAAUUCUGUUCUUCGGUGGACGUCUGGAGAGGACAGUGACUGAAAGUCCACGGCUUGGGAAAUGCUGCUAAAUAUGCUGCAAGUUGUGUUUUUCAAGUCCGGUUCAAAUCACGUAUCUCAGCAGGUUUACGAGUUUGCAGAUGUGGGCGCUUGUGUUCUAGGUGUGGUGUGUCUGUGGGCCACACUCAGAAGGCAGUGAACCUCUAGGAGGACAGGCCUGCUUCCUGUCCUAAGCCUCAGACAGUGCCCAGCCUCCUGGACUUCCCAGAGCACGAGUGGACACACCAGGAGGAGGGGAAAUAACACGUUGUAGAGAGACAGGACGUUAUUCUGAGGCUAAGUCCUUCAAGCAUCCUGUGGGGACAAAAACCAGCACAGGCUGUGACGGAUACUUGGUUUCUGGGUCUCAUAAUUUGGCAUCCUUUGAUUUCUUGAAUGCAUGAUGUGUCUGAAAAUUAAAAUACGUGCAUCUGUGCAUGUGGAAGCUGAUAGAUACUGGCGUGGGCUGCAAAUCUCUAGGUAUCAUUGAACUAAAAAGGAAGGCGUGUGCCCUGACAGCAGCCCCACCACCCGGCACGAGGAUUAAAUGUUCCUCUACCUCCUCUGGGAGGUAAACGGUCCUGGUUCCCCAGAAUGAGUUUCAGUUCUGACAUCCAAGUUCAAGGUCACCGUGAACUAAGUCUAUGGUCUUGGACAGAUCACGUAACUCCUCUGGGAGGUAAACGGUCCUGGUUCCCCAGAAUGAGUUUCAGUUCUGACAUCCAAGUUCAAGGUCACCGUGAACUGAGUCUAUGGUCUUGGACAGAUCACGUAACUCCUGGUAUCUCAGGUUACUCCCCUGUAGAAUGGGAUUAUCAUCUACCUGGGGGAUUGUAAGUUCUACAUAAGCCCGUUUAUACGGAAGAGGAGAUGUGUCAACCACACACAGGGAAAAGAACCCCAACAAUAGCAGGUGCUUCUCUUCACAACAGGCAAGACAUGGAAGAUCCCUAAGUGUCCACUGACAGAGGAAUGGAUAUCACUUAUAUCUGGAAUCUAAUAUAUGGCACAAAUGAACCUUUCCACAGAAAAGAAACUCAUGGACUUGGAGAACAGACUUGUGGUUGCCAAGGGGGAGGGGGAGGGAGUGGGAGAGAUUGGGAGCUUGGGGUUCAUAGAUGCCUUUGGAAUGGAUGAGCAAUGAGAUCCUGCUGUGUCGCACUGAGAACUAUGUCUAGUCACUUAUGAUGGAGCAUGAUAAUGUGAGAAAAAAAUGUACACAUGUAUGUGUGACUGGG
rnacentral:lncRNA from 9 species